AGUAGCGGCGAGCGAACAGGGAAGAGCCCAGCACCGAAUCCCGCGCCCGUCGCCGGGCGCCGGGAAAUGUGGUGUUAGGGAGGGUCCGCCAUCCCGAGGUCGCGCGUCGCGUCCAAGUCCUUCUUGAACGGGGCCACUUACCCACAGAGGGUGCCAGGCCCGUAGCGACCGUCGCCGGCAGCGGGAGGACCUCUCCUCAGAGUCGGGUUGCUUGAGAGUGCAGCCCUAAGCGGGUGGUAAACUCCAUCUAAGGCUAAAUAUGACCACGAGACCGAUAGCGAACAAGUACCGUGAGGGAAAGUUGAAAAGAACUUUGAAGAGAGAGUUCAAUAGUACGUGAAACCGUUCAGGGGUAAACCUGAGAAACCCGAAAAGGUCGAACGGGGAGAUUCAGCGCGUUUCGAAGCGGGCGAGCCGCGGUGCCGGCGACGGCGGGCGCCACGCGCGCCCACCGCGCGCUCCGCGGCCGCAGUCCCGCGGCGAACGCGUGCACUUCUCCCCCUGUAGGACGUCGCGACCCGUUGGCGGCCGGCCUAAGGUCCGCGGUGGAGCCCGGGCGAGCGCCUCACGGCGCCCUCGCCUCGGACCCGCGGCAUCCCGGCCGGCCAGACCGACGGUACGAUCGAGGCGCGGGGCCGCGAACUAUAUUCGCGUCCGGCCCGUCGCAAGCGCGCACGGCAAUCCGGCCGUCGGACAUCCGUGCCGACUCCGGAACCGUUCGGCUGCUGGCGACGCGGUCCUCGGACAGACCCCGAUGCCGUUACGGCACGCCGGUCGGCGACGAUCUAGAUUUGGGUACUUUCAGGACCCGUCUUGAAACACGGACCAAGGAGUCUAGCAUGUGCGCGAGUCAUUGGGACUUGUUGCUAAACCUAAAGGCGAAAUGAAAGUGAAGGCGCGCCUUGCGCGCGCCAAGGGAGGAUGCGCCCGUAUACGAAACGGGCGCCGCACUCCCGGGGCGUCUCUCGGGCUCAUCGCGAGCCCAGGCGCACCCAGAGCGUACACGCUGGGACCCGAAAGAUGGUGAACUAUGCCUGGUCAGGACGAAGUCAGGGGAAACCCUGAUGGAGGUCCGUAGCGAUUCUGACGUGCAAAUCGAUCGUCGGAACUGGGUAUAGGGGCGAAAGACUAAUCGAACCAUCUAGUAGCUGGUUCCCUCCGAAGUUUCCCUCAGGAUAGCUGGCGCUCGUCUGAAUUGUUGAACGAGUCUCAUCCGGUAAAGCGAAUGAUUAGAGGCAUUGGGGUCGAAACGGCCUCAACCUAUUCUCAAACUUUAAAUGGGUGAGAUCUCCGGCUUGCUCGAACGAUGAAGCCGCGAGAUCGGAUCAGAG
rnacentral:rRNA from 1 species